GCUGAUAUGGCUCAGUUGGUAGAGCGCACCCUUGGUAAGGGUGAGGUCCCCAGUUCGACUCUGGGUAUCAGCC
rnacentral:tRNA from 1 species